GUGAUAGCUGAGUGGUAAGGCAUUUGCUUUGCAUACAGAAAGGUCCUGGUUCAAUCCAUAGCAUUGCCAGCAGCACCA
rnacentral:tRNA from 1 species